rnacentral:rRNA from 1 species
CAUGGCUCAGAUUGAACGCUGGCGGCGUGCCUAAUACAUGCAAGUAGAACGCUGAAGAGAGGAGCUUGCUCUUCUUGGAUGAGUUGCGAACGGGUGAGUAACGCGUAGGUAACCUGCCUGGUAGCGGGGGAUAACUAUUGGAAACGAUAGCUAAUACCGCAUGAAAUGGAUUAUCGCAUGAUAAUCGAUUGAAAGGUGCAAAUGCAUCACUACCAGAUGGACCUGCGUUGUAUUAGCUAGUUGGUGAGGUAACGGCUCACCAAGGCAACGAUACAUAGCCGACCUGAGAGGGUGAUCGGCCACACUGGGACUGAGACACGGCCCAGACUCCUACGG